AAGGUAGCAUAAUCAUUUGCCUCUUAAUUAGUGGCUAGUAUGAAUGGACAAACGAGAAUUCCCCUGUCUCUAUAAAGCCAAUGAAAAUUAAUCUUCAGGUGAAGAAGCCUGAAUCUCAUUAAAAGACAAAAAGACCCUAUUGAGCUUACAUUCAAUCUCUAAAAUAUUAAAAUAAAAUAAAACUACCCUUUUUACAAGAAUUUUGCUGGGGCGGCAAAGGAACAACCAAAAAUUCCUUUUCUCAAAGACUUAUAAGUCUAUUAACUGAUCCGUAUUAACGAUUAACAAAACUAGUUACCAUAGGGAUAACAGGCUAAUUUUUCUCUAAAGCUCACAUUAACAGAAAAGAUUGGCACCUCGAUGUUGGCUUAGGAUAUCCUAAGGGCGCAGAAGCCUUUUAAGGUGGGUUUGUUCAACCUUUAAAAUCCUACGUGAUC
rnacentral:rRNA from 1 species